ACUUGACUGAUGAAAAGCUUUGAUAGGGACAUCUGAUGUCUAUGAUUGAUUUAUCAUUAUUAAUAAACUGAUCGU
rfam:Drosophila busckii chromosome 2L sequence.